rnacentral:rRNA from 1 species
CUCUAUAGCCAUGCUACUCUGAACACACCCGAUCCUGUUUGAUCUCAGAAGCUAAGCAGGGUCGGGCCUGGUUAGUACUUGGAUGGGAGACCACCUAGGAAGAGCAGGUGCCGUAGGUG